GAAGGUAGCUGUCCACAGUACAGGAAGCCUCAUCUGAAGGGGGAACAGAAGUGCCAUUGGGGUCCUGCUGCUGACUGUGAUUGAGCUCUGCAUCAGAGAUGGAGAAAGCAGCUGGGAGGCGUUGACCUGAAGGCCCCCUGAGG
rfam:Procavia capensis cont1.415899, whole genome shotgun sequence.